rnacentral:rRNA from 1 species
AUUGAACGCUGGCGGCAUGCCUUACACAUGCAAGUCGAACGGCAGCACGGGAGCAAUCCUGGUGGCGAGUGGCGAACGGGUGAGUAAUAUAUCGGAACGUGCCCAGUCGUGGGGAUAACGUAGCGAAAGCUACGCUAAUACCGCAUACGAUCUAUGGAUGAAAGCGGGGGAUCGCAAGACCUCGCGCGAUUGGAGCGGCCGAUAUCAGAUUAGGUAGUUGGUGAGGUAAAGGCUCGCCAAGCCGACGAUCUGUAGCUGGUCUGAGAGGACGACCAGCCACACUGGGACUGAGACACGGCCCAGACUCCUACGGGAGGCAGCAGUGGGGAAUUUUGGACAAUGGCGCAAGCCUGAUCCAGCAAUGCCGCGUGCAGGAUGAAGGCC